UACGUAGGGUGCGAGCGUUAAUCGGAAUUACUGGGCGUAAAGGGUGCGCAGGCGGUUCUGCAAGUCAGGCGUGAAAUCCCCGGGCUUAACCUGGGAGUGGCGCUUGAAACUACGGAACUGGAGUAUGGCAGAGGGAGGUGGAAUUCCACGUGUAGCGGUGAAAUGCGUAGAGAUGUGGAGGAACACCGAUGGCGAAGGCAGCCUCCUGGGCCAAUACUGACGCUCAUGCACGAAAGCGUGGGGAGCAAACAGG
rnacentral:rRNA from 1 species